rnacentral:rRNA from 1 species
UACGAAGGGGGCUAGCGUUGCUCGGAAUCACUGGGCGUAAAGCGCACGUAGGCGGAUUGUUAAGUCAGGGGUGAAAUCCUGGAGCUCAACUCCAGAACUGCCUUUGAUACUGACGAUCUCGAGUCCGGGAGAGGUGAGUGGAACUGCGAGUGUAGAGGUGAAAUUCGUAGAUAUUCGCAAGAACACCAGUGGCGAAGGCGACUACCUGGGCUGUUCUUGACGCUGAGGCGCGAAAGCUAGGGGAGCAAACGGG